GGCGCGCUCUCCCCGUGGCCCCCCGGGGUGGCCGUGGGUCCCCGUCGGGGACAGGCAGCGAUGUCCCCACCGCGGCCCCGGGACCUGUCAGGCUGUUCAGAAAGGAUCGGUGGGGACCUGUGACAUGUCACCACUAGCUGUCCCUCCUCACCUCCCUGUUUCCCGUCCCCUUCCCGCUCCUCUGCCACCCCCCCCCCGUGUCACCGCUGGUCGCUGCCUCAAGGGAACUGUCACCAGGGGGGGCUGAGCAGCUGCGUCCCCGUGGGGCAAAGAGGGGGAACCCCCAGGGGACAAGGGGUGAGGCAGCCUUGGGGACAGGGCAAUCUGAGGGCCCUGGGGACAGGAGUGACUGUGGGACAGGGGCCCUGGGGGACAGGGGAGCCCAUGGUCCAGGGGACAGGAGUGGCCUGGGGGACAGGAGCACUGGGACAGUCAGUGCUGGGGACACCCUGUGAUGAGUCUUUCUCCCAGCGAGACCAGUUCCUUCCUCCAGCAGCCCCUUCCCUGCACUGGUUUCACCCCCGGGGCUGUCUCCUUGCUGGGACAGAGCCUGGUGCCACCACUCACCUGGCCAUGGCUGCUCCUCCUGGGGACCCCCCUGUCCCCAGCCCCACACACGAGCCCCGUGAGCUUCCCUGGGCACUGGUGUGAUGAGUUGUGGGUGCUCUGGGGCCAGGCAGGACAGGAGGAGCCAGGGUGCACUUUAAUUGACUUCUGCUGCGUUGAGCAGCUGUGAAAACAGAGCGGGGCUCAUUAGGGGACAUCAAAGGACCCCCUGCCAGGGCCGGGCAGGGGGACACGGCAGGACCCACCACUGGCAUUUGCUCCCUCUUCACUUGGCUUGAAGAGGAAGAGGAGGAUGGAGUCAAAAGCCUGGGGGGGCUGGGGCUCAGGCGGGUGCAGAGAGGAGGUCCCUGUUCCCUGUCUCUGGGGUUUCCUGGACCUGGGGGGACCCAUUCCCUGGGCACACCAGGGGUGACCUGUCCCCAGGGUUACCUGAUGUCCUGGUUUGAGGCAGGAUGAAGCCAAUUUUCCUUGUAGUGAUUAUUCCUCCUUCAGUAAGAUUUCUUUCAACCAGCACCAGAGCGUUCCAACUAAGGCUGGUAACACUGGGAUGUGUCUCUAACUGCUGGGGCUUCCAGGUCACAUCUUCACUCCGCCGGCUCAGACACUACGGGGAGAUCUGUGACCCCCCUAGGAGGCUGAGUUAGACAGAGCAAAACUGGCCAGAGAUGUUCCCUUCCAUUGACCUACCUGAGCUCAGAGGAAGCUCCGGGAUUAUUUGGGACUGUUCCCAGCUCAGGAGAUGCUGUGGGAGUUGCUGGGGGUGGGGGGAGGCGAGAGGCUUUUGCACAAACCUGAACAUAUUUGUAUAUAAUUGUGUCUAUUUUCUUGUAUCAUGAGUGUUUAAUUCAAGCUGUGCAGUUCAGUUUUCAA